CACAGACACAAUGCUGGAGCGAGACGUGACAAAGAGUCAGGGUUAUUUAUGGAGUGUGAUUAGGUGUUCACACACACACACACACACACUAUUCCAUUUUAAGCGCUCCAGUGCUCAGGCUGAGCCCAGAUGAUUGAUGAAUGCCGUCUAAAGUAUUUUAAACUAAGCUGAAUUAUUCUGAGUAGCAAGAGCGGAGCUGUAGACCUCAGAGGAACGAAAUAAGCGAAGUUCUGGCAUGGAAUGUGGGACGUUUUGAAAACCACCGUGACCUCUGAAAGCUGCGCUGCUCGGGCUAUUCCAAGCAGGCCGCCCCAUCCCAGCACAAAAUCUGCCUGACGUUCCAGAGAGCAGUUCUACUACAUCACACAGUCCCGCUGACCAACACGUGCCCUCAACGACACAACAGCAUCCAAGAAUGAUUCAUCUGGCUCGGGCCGCGUUUCAGAAAGCAGCGAGGCCUUAAAUUACGCUUGGACGCCGCACUCAUUUGGGAACAGAAGUGGACCGAGGAUGGACCAGCAGUGGAGGUCUAUGACCACACACACAAAAAAAAAGACUUUAACUAUUUAUCUAUGUAAAAAAUAAAGGAUGGCUAC